rnacentral:lncRNA from 12 species
CCCCCCCCCCCCCCCCCCCCCCCCCCCCCCCCCCCCCCCAAUUGCGUGAUUAAAUAUUGAUGCUCAGGGUGAUCUCAGCAGGAAUUCCCAUGGGAAUUCUGGAUGCUCAGGGUGAUCUCAGCAGGAAUUCCCUGGCCAUUCUGGAUGCUCAGGGUGAUCUCAGCAGGAAUUCCCUGGCCAUUGUGGAUGCUCAGGGUGGUCGCAGCAGGAAUUCCCUGGCCAUUCUGGACGCUCAGGGUGAUCUGGGCACGGCAGCCGUGCAGAGCAGGUUUCCCGGUGCCCCACCGGAGCCCCUCCCUGUGCAGGGAGAGCAGCAGGAGCUGUGCAGCCCCGGCAGCGCCCUGAGGGCUGCUCAGCUAAAUGGAAGUGACAGAGCAGCAGAUGCUGAGGGGCUGGCAGCACACGGGCUGUGCUCCCUUCCUCAGAUGGAGCAGCGGGGGGAAGAGGAGAGUGGCUUUCACAUGGCCCCAGAUCGCUGGGCAGAAAGCAGGGGAUGCCUGUCAUUCUGGAUGCUCAGGGUGGUCGCAGCAGGAAUUCCCUGGCCAUUCCGGAUGCUGCAGCCCCCCCGGGCACGGCAGCCGUGCAGAGCAGGUUUCCCGGUGCCCCACCGGAGCCCCUCCCUGUGCAGGGAGAGCAGCAGGAGCUGUGCAGCCCCGGCAGCGCCCUGAGGGCUGCUCAGCUAAAUGGAAGUGACAGAGCAGCAGAUGCUGAGGGGCUGGCAGCACACGGGCUGUGCUCCCUUCCUCAGAUGGAGCAGCGGGGGGAAGAGGAGAGUGGCUUUCACAUGGCCCCAGAUCGCUGGGCAGAAAGCAGGGGAUGCUCUGCAGGCGGUGCAGCAGAGGGAAUUCAGAGUUGGAGCUCCUGGAAUCCGGGCUGGGAGCUGAGUCUGUGCUUCUCAGUAACACAAAAACUGCUCUGGGGUCGCUGCGAGCUGCAUUUAAAGGCGCAGGAACGAGCUCCGGAGGUGCUCUGAGCUCCAACCGGGACAGGGCACCCUUUGGUCAGGGGAAUAGUGCUGGAAACGUGCCAGGUCAGCUGUUUGGGAGUGGGAAAUCACACCACGAAAGGGGCAAUGUCCGUAGGAGGAGGGCUUAACCACUGAUUGUUUCUUGAUGGAGAAGGAAUAGGAAUUACAGCAGGUUUUGGUAUAGGAUGGAUAGAAAUUACCCNCCCCCCCCCCCCCCCCCCCCCCCCCCCCCCCCCCCCC